UACGGGGGGAGCAAGCGUUGUUCGGAUUUACUGGGCGUAAAGGGCGCGUAGGCGGCGUGACAAGUCACUUGUGAAAUCUCCGGGCUUAACUCGGAACGGUCAAGUGAUACUGUCGUGCUAGAGUACAGAAGGGGCAACUGGAAUUCUCGGUGUAGCGGUGAAAUGCGUAGAUAUCGAGAGGAACACCUGCGGCGAAGGCGGGUUGCUGGGCUGAUACUGACGCUGAGGCGCGAAAGCCAGGGGAGCAAACAGG
rnacentral:rRNA from 1 species